AAAACAACCAUCAAAGAAGUUUCAAUGUGGAUGCUUGUUUAUCUGUAACGUGAGGGUGUGUAGCACAGUUACUGUGGUCACUACUGAGGAGGAAUAGGGAGGAGUCAUGGCCAAGUUGCCUUGAUCUUGUCGUUAUGGAGACAGACGUGCCGGGCUUCAUCACAGGGCUGCUUUCCUCCAGCAGACGGAGCCUAGCGAGACAGGAGGCUUUGACCACAUCUCUGUUCAACCCAGUUCUCUAGAGAAGGCCCCACCCCUGGACUUUCUCCUGGCAUAUGAUGGAGAACGCUUGACUGACUGGAGUUGCUGGGUCCCUGUUCAAAAUUAGUUGAGGGUGGCUUCCCUGGU